rnacentral:rRNA from 1 species
AGAGUUUGAUCCUGGCUCUGAGUGAACGCUGGCGGCGUGCUUAACACAUGCAAGUCGAACGGUAACAGAAGAAGUUUGCUUCUUGCUGACGAGUGGCGGAUGGGUGAGUAAUGUAUAGAUAUGUGCCCCAUAGAUUAGGAUAGUCACUGGAAACGGUGAUUAAUACUAGAUAUUUUUUAUGAGGGAAAGUUUUUGUGCUAUGGGAUCGGUCUAUAUGGUAUCAGGUAGUUGGUGAGGUAAGAGCUCACCAAGCCAAUGAUACCUAGCUGGUCUGAGAGGAUGAUCAGCCACACUGGAAUUGAGACACGGUCCAGACUCCUAUGGGAGGCAGCAGUGGGGAAUAUUGCAUAAUGGGGGAAACCCUGAUGCAGCAACGCCGCGUGGAGGAUGAUGUAUUUUGGUGUGUAAACUCCUUUUAUAUGGGAAGAUGAUGAUGGUACCAUAUGAAUAAGCACCGGUUAAUUCCGUGUUAGUAGUCGCGGUAAUACGGAGGGUGCAAGCGUUACUCGGAAUCACUGGGCGUAAAGCGCGCGCAGGCGGGUUUGUAAGUUGGAAGUGAAAUCCACUGGCUUAACCAGUGAACUGCUUCCAAAACUACUAACCUAGAGUGUGGGAGGGGAAGAUGGAAUUAGUUGUGUAGGGGUAAAAUCCGUAGAGAUAAUUAGGAAUAUUAAAAGCGAAGGCGAUCUUCUGGAACACUACUGACGCUGAGGCGCGAAAGCAUGGGGAGUAAACAGGAUUAGAUAUCCUGGUAGUCCAUGCUUUAAACGAUGAAUGUUAGUCGUUGGUAUGCUUGUCAUAUCAGUGAUGCACUUAACAGAUUAAACAUUCCGCCUGGGGAGUACGGUCGUAAGAUUAAAACUCAAAGGAAUAGACGGGGACCCGCACAAGUGGUGGAGCAUGUGGUUUAAUUUGAAUAUAUGUGAAGAAUUUUACCUAGCCUUGAUAUUGAUUGAAUUCGAUAGAGAUAUUGAAGUGCCCUUUUAGGAACAUGAAAAUAGGUGCUGUACGGCUGUCGUCAGCUCGUGUUGUGAGAUGUUGGGUUAAGUUUUGUAACGAGCGUAACCCUCGUGACUAGUUAUUAAUGGUUUGGUUGAGGACUCUAGUCAGACUGCCUUUGUAAGGAGGAGGAAGGUGAGGAUGACGUUAAGUUAUUAUGGCCCUUACGGCUAGGGUGACACACGUGCUACAAUGGUUAGGAUAAUGAGAGGCAAUACCGUGAGGUGGAGCAAAUUUAUAAACCUAAUCUCAGUUUGGAUUGUAGUUUGUAAUUUGACUACAUGAAGCUGGAAUCACUAGUAAUCGUAGAUUAGUUAUGCUACGGUGAAUACGUUCCCGGGUCUUGUACUCACCGCCCGUCACACCAUGGGAGUUGAUUUCACUUGAAGUGGGGAAGUUAAAUUGGUUAUUCUCCACGGUGGAAUUAGCGACUGGGGUGAAGUCGUAAUAAGGUA